ensembl:misc_RNA 7SK 7SK RNA
GGAUGUGAGGGCGAUCUGGCUGCGACAUCUGUCACCCCAUUGAUCGCCAGGGUUGAUUCGGCUGAUCUGGCUGGCUAGGCGGGUGUCCCCUUCUUCCCUCACCGCUCCAUGUGCGUCCCUCCCGACGCUGCGCGCUCGGUCAAAGAGGACAACCUUCCCCGAUAGAGGAGGACCGUUCUUCGGCCAAGGGUAUACGAGUAGCUGCGCUCCCCUGCUAGAAGCUCCAAACAAGAAAUAUACACUGCAUUUCCACUACAGUGUAGAUAUAUUAUACACCAUACCUAAAUGUCGUAUUCCUCCAGCGUCAGUUACAAAAUGUCACUCUACUGUUU